GUGGGGAAUAUUGGACAAUGGGCGAAAGCCUGAUCCAGCCAUGCCGCGUGUGUGAAGAAGGUCUUCGGAUUGUAAAGCACUUUAAGUUGGGAGGAAGGGCAGUAAGUUAAUACCUUGCUGUUUUGACGUUACCGACAGAAUAAGCACCGGCUAACUUCGUGCCAGCAGCCGCGGUAAUACGAAGGGUGCAAGCGUUAAUCGGAAUUACUGGGCGUAAAGCGCGCGUAGGUGGUUGUGUAAGUGGGAGGUGAAAUCCCCGGGCUCAACCUGGGAACGGCCGCGAAAACUGCAUGACUAGAGGACGGUAGGGGGAAGUGGAAUUUCCGGUGUAGCGGUGAAAUGCGUAGAUAUAGGAAGGAACACCAGUGGCGAAGGCGACUACCUGGACUGAUACUGACACUGAGGUGCGAAAGCGUGGGGAGCAAACAGGAUUAGAUACCCGUGUAGUCC
rnacentral:rRNA from 1 species